CUUUCUUUCUUUCUUUCUUUCUUUCUUUCUUUCUUUCUUUCUUUCUUUCUUUCUUUCUUUCUUUCUUUCUUUCUUUCUUUCUUUCUUUCUUUCUUUCUUUCUUUCGUUCUUUCUUUCUUUCUUUCUUUCUUUCUUUCUUUCUUUCCUUCCUUCCUUCCUUCCUUCCUUCCUUCCUUCCUUCCUUCCUUCCUUCCCUCCCUCCCU